AAUCUUGUUUUCUUUCAGCACAUUAAAUAGUAGGAAGUGGCCAUAGAGUUUGAGGUUAGUAAAACAGUUACCCACGUUUCCAACAAGGAUAUUCGUUGGAAUUCAGCCUAUACAACUUCAGUCAGCAAAAGAAUUAAAGAGGAAAGAGAAAAAAGAAACAAAAAGAGGAAGUUGGGGAAACUGAGUAAAAUUGUUCGUACAGUAUUUGUAUCAUUGUUGGUUCAAUUUUGUUUAUUUUAAUCAAUUCACUGCCAUAUCAAUUAUCAUUGUUGAUUCAGUUUUGCUUAUUUUAAUUUUCAAUUGUAAUGCUGUAAUAUGUGGUAUAUUACACCAACAUAGUGCAAGCUGCUAUUCGUUAAACCAGAAAUCAGUAGGGUUUUUUCUGACUUUGAUAUUGUUGUUGGGGAGAAAGUUGCGAUGGAAGUACCUGGUGGACGGUCAAAUUAUUCAUAUACGACGCGGUUGCAAGCGUCGAUUGGGUUAGCGAUGCAGUCAAGUGAGAGUAGUUUUGUUGAAAAUUCAAUUUCUGGAGAGUACUAUAUCCCGUCAUUUGGGCAUUUGAAUGCUAAUUCAGGUGGUGGCGGCGGUGGUUCGUUGAGUAAAAGCUGGGCGCAGCAGACUGAGGAGAGUUACCAGCUGCAGUUAACGUUAGCUCUGCGGAUUUCUAGUGAAGCAACAUGUGCUGACGAUUCCAGUUUGUUAGAUCAUGUGGUUGAUCAAUCGGUAUCUCGUGCUUUUGUGGAGGCAAAGUCUCAUCGAUUUUGGGUAAAUGGGAGCUUGUCAUACUUUGACAAAGUCCCCGAUGGAUUUUACUUGAUUCAGGGGAUGGAUCCAUAUGUCUGGACAGUCUGCUCAGAUCUGCAAGAAGGUGGUCGUAUCCCAUCAAUAGAAUCCUUGAAGGCUGUUGAUCCCUCCGUAGUACCUUCAGUUGAAGUGAUUUUGAUUGACCGUCGAAGUGAUCCCAGCUUAAAGGAACUACAAAAUCAAAUUCAUGGCAUGUCCCCUAGUUGCAACACCACAAACGAGGUGGUUGAUCAGCUUGCAAAGUUGGUUUGCAAUCACAUGGGAGGGGCAGCUUCUGGCGAAGAAGGUGAUUUUGUUCCUAUCUGGAAGGAGUGCUGUAAUGACCUGAAGGAUUGUCUAGGAUCCAUUGUGUUUCCCAUUGGUAGCCUUUCUGUCGGCCUUUGUGAACAUCGCACAUUGCUGUUUAAAGUUCUGGCGGACAGCAUUGAUUUACCAUGUCGAAUUGCCAGAGGAUGUAGAUAUUGUAAAAGACCCGAUGCUUUCUCAUGUCUAGUUCGACUUGGCCUUGACAGGGAAUACCUGGUUGAUUUGAUUCGGGAGCCUGGAUAUUUAUCUGAACCGAAUUCAUUGCUCAAUGGUCUAUCUUCCAUCUCAAUUUCUUCACCAUUGCGCCUUCCUAAAUUUGGACAAGUUGAACCUGCAAUGGAUUUCACGUCACUGGUCAAACAGAAUUUUUUGGAUUGUCUAUCACUUAAUAUGGUCUUUGAUGAUUCUUCAGCAGGAACUGCAGUUGAUGGGGAUGCUGGACAAACGGACAGAAGUUCCAUGGAUAGAAGCAGUGCAAUUCCUAGUGCAAGCUAUCGUGAUGAAGUUUCACGGUUACCUCUGCCUCUAAUAAAUGCAUGGAAAAAGGGUUGUAAUGAAGGCUCUCAACUUCCUGCAUUAUGCCAGCCUCCAAAUAUCUCGAUCUCAAAGAGCCAGGAAAAAGAUUUGAUUCCUUUGAAGAAUGUCACUCCAAUUAGGUAUAGAGAUGCUCAGUUGAUGGCAAUAUCUGAUGCAAGGACAGAUACCAUUAAUGACAAGAAGUAUUUUGAGGGAGGAGGGAGACUUGCUCCCGCUAAACUGAGUCGAGAACUUGUUCUUGAUGUAGAAGAUCUGGAUAUUCCCUGGAAUGAUCUGGUUCUUAAGGAGAGAAUUGGGGCAGGGUCUUUUGGUACCGUUCACCGUGCUGAUUGGAAUGGCUCUGAUGUUGCUGUAAAAAUUCUUAUGGAACAAGAUUUUCAUGCAGAGCGAUACAAGGAAUUUUUGCGAGAGGUUUCAAUUAUGAAGCGGUUGCGACAUCCAAAUAUUGUGCUUUUCAUGGGUGCUGUUACUGGGCCACCAAACUUGUCUAUAGUUACAGAAUAUUUAUCAAGAGGUAGCUUAUAUGGGCUUCUUCAUAAACCUGGUGCGAGAGAGGUAUUGGAUGAAAGGCGUCGGCUGUGUAUGGCUUAUGAUGUGGCAAAGGGGAUGAAUUAUCUUCAUAAACGCAAACCACCCAUUAUUCACCGAGAUUUAAAAUCUCCAAAUCUUCUGGUGGAUAAAAAAUAUACAGUGAAGGUAGGGAAUGGACGUUGUAGCUUCAGAAUCUUUUAACUAAAUGAAGACCGUUCUUGGUAGUUUCAGAAACUUUGAACUAAGCGAAGGUUAUAAAAGCAAGUUAGAUUUCUCAAAUAAUGGAGAGCUGAAGUUGCAGUCCAUGUAGAACACUAGGGAAGUGUUUUGUUUUUCCAGUUAUCUCAGGUUAAAAUAUUUUGAAAAACAUUCUCUUGAAUGUAAGGUUUUGUGCAGUAGAGUGUUCCGGCCCUACCCUGGACCCCAUGCAUAGCGAGAGCUUAUUGCACCGGGCUGCCCUUUUAUUUUCUCUAUAAAAACAAGUUCCUUAUAAAUCAGAAAAAUGACUUCCCUAGUGGUGGAAGUAAGGAAGAAGGAAGUUCUGUAUGUGGCAUCCUAUGCUGACUGUCUCCUCCCCACCUCACACCCCGCCACCCCACCGCCAUAUUGUUUGCCUUGAUUAUAUAUAAAUGCUCCUGGAAUCAUUUUUGCUACUUACUUAUCAAACACCUAAAAUAAGUAAGAAAGCUACUUAUUUUCCAGAAAAUAAUUUUCAGGAAAUUUUUCUGCUAAACAUUUUCCGUCGUACCAAGCACACCCUAAAUUCCAAUUGACGAAAUUUUUUAAAACAGAGCAUAAUAUUGGAGAUCCCUUCUACUUAGAAAAUCAUUAUGCCAUGCUGUAUGUUUGAGUUCAUAUUGUUUCUUAUUAUAUGCAUAAUUAUAAAAUGUCUUGUCCUUCCCUGCCCCCUUUCUCCUAUUGUCUUGUUCAAUUAGUUCCUGUCCUACACUAAAUAGAUUUAUAUGAUACCUCUGUCUUCUAUCUUCAGAAGUAUGUCCUUGCAUUCUCUUCCUUGUUAUUAAGUUGGAUUGAAUGUGAAAUAUCUGAAUUCUUGAUAAUCUAAUUUGACUUGCUAGAUCUGAUUGAGAACAUGUUAAGAGUCUGAUUUCAAAAAAUACAAACAACAGAAAGAAAAGAGAUACAUUUUGAUAUGCAUCAUCUCUGUGCUCUGCAAUGCAUGCCAUAUCCGUGAUAUUUAAAAGAGCUUGUUCUUUAUAAAUUAUACUUUAUACAUAAAUUUUUUAGUCUGGUUUCAAACAAUACUAAUAACAGAAAGAAAAGAGAUAAAAUCGUCAAAUUGCAAAUAGUUAGUUACUAAGAUCUGAUUAUGAGUUAUUAAAUGGUAAGAUGAAUAAAAAUUCUCAAUUGCAAGGCAUGUUCCUAAAGGGCCCAAUGAAUUCCUAAUUGGAAUUGGGGGAUCUUUUUAAUUGAUUCUUUUAUGACAUUGUGAUAUUUUACAUCCUUAAAUGGCCCCAUUUGAAAACAAUUGGCUUUUGAUCAUCAUUUCCAGCUUACGCGCACCUUGACUAAUUUCACAUCCCUAUGAACUCUGCCCACCAAGGAGAGGAUAGAUGGAAAGAAAUCACCUAAUAUGUCUCUGUUGGGAUUUGAACCAGAGACCUCAUGGUUCUCAAUCCACUUCAACAUCCUUGGGUUAGCUAUAUGCAUAAAUGUAAUAUGACUAUCUCUUGUGCUACCCAUAUGCCUAGUUGUCCUGAUGCUUUACAAUGACAAGAAUGGAGCAUGGUCAACUUUAGAUUUGACUCUAUUGAGCGCUCAAACUUAGUUAUCUUACUCUAAAUUGGCAAUGGCUUACCGCCGACAGUAGCACUUCAUUUUACUAUUACGUAUUUUGUGGGUACUUGUACAUUAUUGAAGUUGGUCUGUCUAGAAAUGUAUUACAUGCACCACUCCUACCGAAUGUCUUUUUCAGGUCUGUGACUUUGGUCUUUCUCGAUUAAAAGCUAAUACAUUUUUGUCAUCAAAGUCAGCUGCCGGGACUAAUGGAUGGCACCUGAAGUCCUUCGUGAUGAGCCGUCAAAUGAGAAAUCUGAUACAUACAGCUUUGGUGUCAUCUUAUGGGAGCUGGCAACAUUGCAACAACCUUGGAGUAAUUUGAACCCGCCACAGGUAGUAGCAGCCGUUGGCUUCAAAGGUAUGAGGCUUGAAAUACCACAUGACUUGAAUCAUCAGGUGACAACUAUUAUUGAAGCUUGCUGGAUGAAUGAGCCAUGGAAACGUCCCUCUUUUUCCGCUAUUAUGGAUAUGUUGAGGUCGCUCAUAUAACACUUGUAACACAACCAGAUUGUACAGACAUGCAGUUCCUCAUGUAAAUGCUUGUAGUAAAUG